rnacentral:snoRNA from 7 species
CUGCUCAUUAGGGCUCAGUCUUCCUCUUGUGGUCCUGACCUGCCUGCCCUCCAUGAGCAAGAGAAUCUGGACUGGUUGGGGGUGUCCUGUCCAAGUGGACAACAGGACUCCACGGUUUUCAGUACAACA